UACGUAGGGUGCAAGCGUUGUCCGGAAUUAUUGGGCGUAAAGAGCUCGUAGGCGGUCUGUCGCGUCGGCUGUGAAAACUUGGGGCUCAACCCCAAGCCUGCAGUCGAUACGGGCAGACUAGAGUCCGGCAGGGGAGACUGGAAUUCCUGGUGUAGCGGUGAAAUGCGCAGAUAUCAGGAGGAACACCGGUGGCGAAGGCGGGUCUCUGGGCCGUAACUGACGCUGAGGAGCGAAAGCAUGGGGAGCGAACAGG
rnacentral:rRNA from 1 species